CGUCGCCACGGUAAUACGAAGGUCCCGAGCGUUGUUCGGAAUCACUGGGCGUAAAGGGAGCGUAGGCGGCGUGGUAAGUCAGAUGUGAAAUCCCGGGGCUCAACCCCGGAACUGCAUCCGAUACUGCCAUGCUAGAGGAUUGGAGAGGUAGCUGGAAUUCUUGGUGUAGCAGUGAAAUGCGUGGAGAUCAAGAGGAACACUCGUGGCGAAAGCGAGCUACUGGACAAUAACUGACGCUGAGGCUCGAAGGCCAGGGUAGCGAAAGGGAUUAGAUACCCGCGUAGUCCCUGUCUCUUAUACC
rnacentral:rRNA from 1 species